rnacentral:rRNA from 1 species
GAUGAACGCUGGCGGCGUGCCUAAUACAUGCAAGUCGAGCGAGAUGUUAGCGCAUGAACCUUCGGGGGAUUAUGCUAACGGACAGCGGCGGACGGGUGAGUAGCGCGUAGGCAACCUGCCCCUGACAGAGGGAUAGCCAUUGGAAACGAUGAUUAAAACCUCAUGACACCGUAGAAGCACAUGCUUCAUCGGUCAAAGAUUUAUCGGUCAGGGAUGGGCCUGCGUCUGAUUAACUAGUUGGUGAGGUAACGGCUCACCAAGGUGACGAUCAGUAGCCGACCUGAGAGGGUGAUCGGCCACAUUGGAACUGAGACACGGUCCAAACUUCUACGGAAGGCAGCAGUAGGGAAUCUUGCACAAUGGGCGAAAGCCUGAUGCAGCAACGCCGCGUGAAGGAUGAAGGCCUUCGGGUUGUAAACUUCUGUUCUAAGGGAAGAAACAAAUGACGGUACCUUAGGAGCAAGCCCCGGCUAACUACGUGCCAGCAGCCGCGGUAAUACGUAGGGGGCAAGCGUUAUCCGGAAUUAUUGGGCGUAAAGAGUGCGUAGGUGGUUACCUAAACGCAAGGUUUAAUUUAGAGGCUCAACCUCUACUUGCCUUGCGAACUGGGCUACUUGAGUGCAGGAGGGGAAAGCGGAAUUCCUAGUGUAGCGGUGAAAUGCGUAGAUAUUAGGAGGAACACCAGCGGCGAAGGCGGCUUUCUGGACUGUAACUGACACUGAGGCACGAAAGCGUGGGUAGCAAACAGG